UAUUGGACAAUGGGGGGAACCCUGAUCCAGCGACGCCCCGUGAGUGAAGAAGUAUCUCGGUAUGUAAAGCUCUAUUAGCAGGGAAGAAAGAAAUGACGGUAUCUGAUUAAGAAGCCCCGGCUAACUCCGUGCCAGCAGCCGCGGUAAUACGUAGGGGGCAAGCGUUAUCCGGAUUUACUGGGUGUAAAGGGAGCGUAGACGGUGAUGCAAGUCAGAAGUGAAAGCCCGGGGCUCAACUCCGGGACUGCUUUUGAAACUGUGUGACUGGAGUGCAGGAGAGGUAAGCGGAAUUCCUGGUGUAGCGGUGAAAUGCGUAGAUAUCAGGAGGAACACCAGUGGCGAAGGCGGCUUGCUGGACUGUAACUGACGUUGAGGCUCGAAAGCGUGGGGAGCAAACAGG
rnacentral:rRNA from 1 species